rnacentral:rRNA from 1 species
CCUACGGGAGGCAGCAGUGGGGAAUAUUGCACAAUGGGGGAAACCCUGAUGCAGCAACGCCGCGUGAGUGAGGAAGUAUUUCGGUAUGUAAAGCUCUAUCAGCAGGGAAUAGAAAAGAAUGUACCAGAAAAAGAAGCACCGGCUAACUACGCGCCAGCAGCCGCGGGAAUACGGAGGGGGCAAGCGUUAUCCGGAUUUACUGUGGGAAAGGGGAGCGUAGACGGAAGGGCAAGGCAGAUGUGAAAGCCCAAGGCUCAACCAUGGGACUGAUUUUGAAACUGUCAAACUAGAGUACGGGAGAGGUAAGUAGAAUUCCUAGUGUAGCGGUGAAAUGCGUAGAUAUUAGGAGGAACACCAGUGGCGAAGGCGUCUUACUGGACCAAAACUGACGUUGAGGCGCGAAAGCGUGGGGAGCAAACAGGAUUAGAUACCCUUGUAGUC